UACAGAAGUCCCAAGCGUUGUUCGGAUUCACUGGGCGUAAAGGGUGCGUAGGUGGUGAGGUAAGUCGGAUGUGAAAUCUCCGAGCUCAACUCGGAAAUGGCAUUGGAAACUACCUUGCUAGAGGGUUGGAGGGGGGACUGGAAUGCUUGGUGUAGCAGUGAAAUGCGUAGAUAUCAAGCGGAACACCAGUGGCGAAGGCGAGUCCCUGGACAACUCCUGACACUGAGGCACGAAAGCUAGGGGAGCAAACAGG
rnacentral:rRNA from 1 species